rnacentral:rRNA from 1 species
AGUGAACGCUGGCGGUAGGCCUAACACAUGCAAGUCGAACGGCAGCACAGUAAGAGCUUGCUCUUACGGGUGGCGAGUGGCGGAGGGGUGAGGAAUACAGCGGAAUCUACUUUUUCGUGGGGGAUAACGUAGGGAAACUUACGCUAAGACCGCAUACGACCUACGGGUGAAAGCAGGGGAUCUUCGGACCUUGCGCGAUUGUAUGAGCCGAUGUCGUAUUAGCUAGUUGGCGGGGUAAAGGCCCACCAAGGCGACGAUCCGUAGCUGGUCUGAGAGGAUGAUCAGCCACACUGGAACUGAGACACGGUCCAGACUCCUACGGGAGGCAGCAGUGGGGAAUAUUGGACAAUGGGCGCAAGCCUGAUCCAGCCAUACCGCGUGGGUGAAGAAGGCCUUCGGGUUGUAAAGCCCUUUUGUUGGGAAAGAAAAGCAGCAGGUUAAUACCCCGCUGUUCUGACGGUACCCAAAGAAUAAGCACCGGCUAACUUCGUG